AACGAACGCUGGCGGCAUGCCUAACACAUGCAAGUCGAACGAGACCUUCGGGUCUAGUGGCGCCCGGGUGCGUAACGCGUGGGAACCUGCCCUUAGGUUCGGAAUAACUCCCCGAAAGGGGUGCUAAUACCGGAUAAUGUCUUCGGACCAAUGAUUUAUCGGCUUUUGAUGGGCCCGCGUUUGAUUAGCUAGUUGGUAGGGUAAAAGCCUACCAAGGCGAAGAUCCAUAGCUGGUCUGAGAGGAUGAUCAGCCACACUGGGACUGAGACACGGCCCAGACUCCUACGGGAGGCAGCAGUGGGGAAUAUGGGACGAUGGGCGAAAGACUGAGCCAGCAAGGCCGCGUGAGUGAUGAAGGCCUGAGGGUUGUAAAGCUCUUUUAACCGGGAUGAUAAUGACAGUACCGGGAGAAUAAGCCCCGGCUAACUACGUG
rnacentral:rRNA from 1 species